UUCUUUUGUAAAUUGCCCAGUCUUGGGUAUGUCUUUAUCAGCAGCAUGAAAAUGGACUAAUCCAGAAGGCAUGGAUAUGCAAACUUUCACUUUUGUUCUUUACUUGAGUGUCAGGAAAAUAUGAUGUUGUGGAUGGAUAGAAGACAAGAGAGAUGAAGAUUUGUGUCACCAUAGUAAAAAUUCUAGAAGGCUAUGGUGUCUCAUAUUGGUCUCAGAAUUCUAAAUCAAAUAAAGCACUAAAACAAAUGUAUUAAACACUCAGAAACCUAAAUUUUAGCUGCUUCCUAAGAUUGUGAACAGUGUUUUCUCAUGAUCUUCCUGAAAGCAAUUGACAAUGCGUUACAUUCAACUUGAAGAAAUAAGUAUUUUCUUCCCUUAAAAAAUUUACCAAUUUAAUUAUCAUCCAAGGGAACAGUUCAUGCCAAAAAUGUAAGGUAGAAGUAUCCCUGAUAUAAUUAAAAAAUAACAAGGCCAACAUACUUGGAAGAAUUGGCAAUUAUGGGGCUGAGAAACAGUAAUUGGAGAUGAGGUCAGACAAAUAAGUAGCAAGGUUAUACAGGGUUUCAACUGUCAUUGGAGGAGUUUACGUUUCAUUUUGAAUGUAAUGUGCAGCCCAUGGAGUCCUCUCAUAGAGUUUAUCAAGCAUAGUAGGACUACAGCAGCUACCUAGGUUUGACGGGCUGAGGUUUGAGUUAGCCAUAGUCAACUGUCAUCUGAAAAUAGGUAAAUAUAGUACAAUAAGGUAUUUUGAGAGAGAAAAAGAGACCACGUUUAUAAAACAUUUGUGACAGUAAAUUGUUAUUGUUCUAUUUUAUGAUUAUUGAUGUUAAUGUCUUACUGAGCCUAAUUUAUAAAUUAAACUUUAUCAUAGGUAUGCAUGUAUAGAAAAAACAUAGUCUGUAUAAGAUUGGGUACCAUCCACAGUUUCAGGCCUUCACAUGGGAUCUUGGAAUGUAUCCCCCGUGGGAAUACAUUAUUCAAAAUUUAAACUUUCUCUAUUGAAUGACUUUGAGAAAUCUCUCUUUAUUUCUUCCAGAUUCCAUCAUGAAAGUUGAAAUUUCUAAAGUUUUUUAACUUCUUAUUGUUACUGGUGCAGAUCUACUUCAAAGAGUCAAAAUGAACAGUUCCCUUCCACAUUCUUCACCAAAUGAAAGCACUAAUUUUUCUCAAAGGGAUAAGCUACUAGUAAGAUUUAGACAUUGAAUACUUCAAGCUAGUUACAUAGUUGUUCAGCCUGUUGUUUGCUCAGCACAUUUUUUUCCUUUUCAAUCAAUUAAUAAACCUGACAGGGAAUAUAUAGUUAGCUGAAAAAUGUCUUCAGUUGAAAUUCUACAAGCCAUCUUGCUGCUUUGAGAAUGGGUCAGGAGGAUGCUGAAGCAUCAUAAUGUUAUGCACUUCUCUGGGUUGAUAUGUUAAGGCCCAGUAGUCAAAAUUGGUGAAGGAAAACUCAAGGUCACAGGGUUUAACGCUUGCUUUCCAGCUGAUUUCCAGUGUGACUCUUGGGGAUGCCAUUCAACUUCAGCUUCCUGCUUUAAUUCCUUGCUUUUUAAAUAUCAAGCUGCUGUGUCAAAAAACCAAAUAAUGAAUCAUACGGGAUUUGGCCUCACAGUUGAGGUCGAGUAGAGAGCUGAGUGACAGUUUGUUAUAAUUCAUACUUUUGAAUAAUAUUAAAACAAUGAUAUAUUUUUCAAAGUUAAAGGACAAGAGGACAAAAUUUAGGCAUGUUAUAACAAGGUAGUAUUUUAGUAGCUUGCUAAUGGUGAAAUUAUGGUUGCUUAAAAUAGUAAACAUACCUUCCAAAUUUCUAAAUGUUAUUUGAAAAGGAUUUUGCUUAAUAUGGCUCCUCAUGUUGUCGAUUUUGACUUUCAUUUACACAAACUACAUCCAAGUGACACAUUAAAGAACAACAUGUAAUGUGCAUCCAUUCUGGAGUUGAUCAAUGUGAGGAUAAGGGCAGAUGCUGCCACAGAGACUGUCAUUCCCACAGACAUUUAAAUAUAUUAGCACUUGGGGGCCAGGUGUGGUGGCUCACGCCUGUAAU
rnacentral:lncRNA from 1 species